AUAAAAGUGGAGAGUGAAAGUGCCAAAGAUAUCCAGCCAUUCUGAACAGAUUGAUCAUUCCAGUCCAGUUGAUGUUUGGUGAUUAAUAUCUGAGCCAUGUAUAGAAACACCCUUAUCUUUCUGAUCCUGCUGCAUUUAGUGGUCUUCAGUACAAACAAUAGUACUACUAGUGAUGUGCAGUCGACUGAAACAACAGCAGAAAGGUCUGUGAGCACUGAGUCUGACUUUACACACACAAGCCUGUCUUCUUCAGCCACAUCCAUGGAUCUGGUCACUUCACCGCAUCAGCCCAGCAGCUCUGUCGGUGAACCUUCUGAAGAACCGCAAGGUUUAACAUCAGGCCAGAUCGCAGGUAUAGCUGUAGGAUCCAUCGCUGGGGUGGCAGCUCUGGGUGGAGGGAUAUUUGCUGGACUGAAGUACAAUGGCAAACUGGGUGGCUAAUGUGACUCUAGCUGAACCAACUGUAUUUCAUCGUACCAUAAUCAUGAUUUUUUUUUGUAACAUUUGCUUUUUUUAUGUAGCCUUGUGUCAACUGACAAAAUGGUACAAAAUCAUUAUAAUAGCUCUGACAUGAACAUGUUGAUGGACAAUGGGAGUUUUUUCUCAGAGGUAACUCUCUUUUCUGAGCCAUUUUUGACCUGAGUGAAGUCAUUUCUCCGCUAGUUCACAGGUGUAGAUCAUCAUAUUAAUUAUGAACAAGAUCCACUAAUGUUUUUAACAUUCGCAAAGGGUCAGAAUACUUCUUUUGAACAUUUUUUUUUGUGAUUGUGAUUUUUUGCGUUGUGAUUUUAUUUUAGAUUUGUGCCAUUUCCAAAAACAAACAAACAACACCUGGUCUUCAUGUUGAACUACUGUAUCUCUCAUUAAUAAUAAUCUACUGUCUCUAUUUUUGCAAAGUUAUGAUUUUAUGACAUGGCCAUGAGCAGCGAUGAGUUGGCACGAACAUCCUGUGGUGUCGUUUAUGAUAUGCCUGUAUUUUCUCUAUGUAAACAUAAGCAAUACUGUAUUCUGGGAAACCACAAAGCAGUGGUUGUUAUAUGUAUGUUUGUGUAUGUAACCACAGAAUUUGUGAGUUAAUCUUUGAACGAUCUGAUAGAAACAGCACACAGAAGGCAGAAAGAUACAGUCACACAGCAGGUGAAAGAGCCCUCUAUCUCUCUCGCCAUCCAAACAGAGCAGCACAUCAAAUAUUUAUCCCUCUCUGCAACUGCUUUAUAAACACUAUCCAGUUUAAUCCCACAUGCAGUGCAUCUCUGAAUGAACAGGAAGAUACAGACAACGGUAAACAAGUGUAUCAAUGUGGGGGAAAAUUGGAGGGGGGGGAUUAAAAACUACAAAAGAAAGAAAGCCCGCUCCAGGAACACAUCCCUCCGUCCCAAUGUUCAUACUAUCCAUCCUAAUUAGAAGGCAUAUGUGCGAUUAGAAUAAGUGUUUCCCAUAGUGUGUUGAAAAGAGUGUGCCAAAAGUCCCCGGAUGGUCUACCAUUUGAGGUCGAUUGUUUAAGUGUGGAUCCGUGCACACUCUAAUGGCUAAUCUUGCCCACAAUCCCUUGCGCUUUGACGAAUGAUUCAGUUGAGAACAACCAUAGACAGUAAAAGAAACAUGAAUAAAAAUCAUUUAAAAACUACAAA